CAUUGCUGUAAAAGUUGAAACCAGUUCAGUUAGGAAUAAAACAAAUAUGAUAGGUAUAGCUAACUGGAAAGGAAGAAAUAAAGUUAACAAAGACUGAGUCUAGUACUGCCUCAUUUGUAGGUGAUUCCUCACUGAUUUUAUUCAGUUCCAGUUUAACAAGGUUAGGUAGAGGUUUGGUUUUGUUUUGGAUAUGCCCUCAUGUUCAUGUAUCCACGUUCCCUUCCUCCUUUCUUCAGGAGGACUCAUAGAUUACUAGGACCAUUGAAUGACAGCCUGCUUACAAAUGAAAAAUCAAGGAAACUUUCUCUCUUCCAGAACCCUGAAAUUCUUGUCCUUCCUUUUUCUGUCCAUUCUCCCUCUCUAGUGUGACUUUGCAUUCUAAUCUCCUUUUCUCUCCCUCCCUCCUUUCCUCUCUCCUUUUCUCCUUUCUUCCUUCCUGCUAUUCCUCCCUCCCUCCUUCCUAAAAUCAACUAUGGGUAUGCCUUCAAGAAAUUGUUUGGCAAUUUAGACCUAAGAGUUUGGUUUUGAUUUUGCAUCUAUGUUCUUGAAUGAAUAUGAACUGGUGAUGAAAACAAAAAUGGCCAACUAACAGUAAGUGAGAAAGAAGAAAGGAUGGGAUAUGCCCAGAAAACAACAAAAUAAAUACGUAAGACCUAAGCCUGCUAUAUUUACAACCAGGAUUCUAUACAUAACAUAAAGAAUUACUUGACAGGCACUUAAGAAAUGUUAGCUACUAAUUCUUGAGAACCUCCUCUGGGUACCAGUUAAUCACUUUGAAGCAUUAUUAGUCUUUCAUUCACUUUGAACAUAAUUAAAAUUUUAUGGUGAAUAAAUGUCAUUUAAUUUAUCUAGCUUGGGACCUACAACUACCUUUUGUUUGGUGUUGGAUACCAUGUGGGGGAGUGUAUUUUCCCAAAAGCACCAAUUUCUUUUAAAAAGUAAGAAAACAUUUGUGUUGGCCAAGAAACAGUUGUCUGUGGCAAGUCUAAUAAGAUGUGUAUGUGGGAAUCUGUAAGAAAAGAAACAAGCACCUUUAGCAAUAGAGCUAAAGUUGCUAUCUAGAGUCAAAUGCUUUAUUCCUGGGGAGACAGGUCUAAGGGAAAUAGUUGUCUCUGGCUGAAAGUCAGCAUGUACAAAACAGAGUAAUGAAAUGGUCAUUGGGGCCAGAUAAAAGAAGGCCUUGAAUGUCAAUUAGGGUUCUUGAAAUUUAGUUUACAGGAAAUUGAGGAACCAAAUUUAAAAUGAAAAAAUUUGAGGAAGAAGAAUGUUAUGUAAAGCAUGUAAUAUGACCACCUUGCCAAGUGUCCUUAGCUUUCUUGUCUUUCCGGUAACUAACCUCUUUGAAAAUGUUCUAGGUCAAAAUUUUCCCAUGAUAUUUCAAAUCAACAGAUCACUUGUGUAAGGUUAAAAUCAUACUUGACCAUCAUGGUGGAAAAGUACACAUACACACAACAAAAACAGCUCCAAAAACAACAUUUUGGCUUUUCUUGUAAAAGCACAGCACCUUGAAUGUCUUUCAUAAGGUUCCAAAACUAUCUCACAUUACUAAAAGAGAGGGAAAGAGCCUAUUAUCAGGUUUUCAUGUUAAAUGUUAUUUAAUGACUACAUUUGUGAAAGAAACAAAUAGUUCAGUUCAAAUGGAAAAGCAAAUGUGCCAUUAGGUAAUAAUUUCAGUUCUUCAAAAAUGUUCACUUGAUUUUUGUAGUGGAUUUAGCAGUAAUCAUUAAUAAUUUUAAGUGAGUUGGUGAAAGUAAAAGGUGGAAUUUUAAAACACAUGGCUCAGACUGAUGGCAGUGAACCACUGAUAACUCAGCAUCACUAAAAGAUAGCCAGCUAGUUCAUGGGCUUUUUUCCUGUGAUCCAGUUAUGAAGAACAUACUACUGCCAGCCAAGUCUUCUUGCUCCCC
rnacentral:lncRNA from 1 species